UGGGGAAUAUUGCACAAUGGGCGCAAGCCUGAUGCAGCAACGCCGCGUGAGGGACGACGGCCUUCGGGUUGUAAACCUCUUUUGGCAGGGAAGAAGCGAAAGUGACGGUACCUGCAGAAAAAGCACCGGCUAACUACAUGCCAGCAGCCGCGGUGAUACGUAGGGUGCAAGCGUUGUCCGGAAUUAUUGGGCGUAAAGAGCUCGUAGGCGGUUUGUCGCGUCUGCUGUGAAAACCCGAGGCUCAACCUCGGGCCUGCAGUGGGUACGGGCAAACUAGAGUGCGGUAGGGGAGAUUGGAAUUCCUGGUGUAGCGGUGGAAUGCGCAGAUAUCAGGAGGAACACCGAUGGCGAAGGCAGAUCUCUGGGCCGUAACUGACGCUGAGGAGCGAAAGCAUGGGGAGCGAACA
rnacentral:rRNA from 1 species